GUGGGGAAUAUUGGACAAUGGGCGAAAGCCUGAUCCAGCCAUGCCGCGUGUGUGAAGAAGGUCUUCGGAUUGUAAAGCACUUUAAGUUGGGAGGAAGGGCAGUAAGUUAAUACCUUGCUGUUUUGACGUUACCGACAGAAUAAGCACCGGCUAACUUCGUGCCAGCAGCCGCGGUAAUACGAAGGGCGCAAGCGUUAAUCGGAAUUACUGGGCGUAAAGCGCGCGUAGGUGGUUUUGUAAGUUGGAGGUGAAAUCCCCGGGCUCAACCUGGGAACUGCCUCCAAAACUGCAUGACUAGAGUACGGUAGAGGGUAGUGGAAUUUCCUGUGUAGCGGUGAAAUGCGUAGAUAUAGGAAGGAACACCAGUGGCGAAGGCGACUACCUGGACUGAUACUGACACUGAGGUGCGAAAGCGUGGGGAGCAAACAGGAUUAGAAACCCGGGUAGUCC
rnacentral:rRNA from 1 species